rnacentral:rRNA from 1 species
GGCCUGUUGAGUAUGAUUUCAGGUCUGACCUGCCCUAUGAUUAUUUAAAUGGCCGCGGUAUAUUGACCGUGCAAAGGUAGCAUAAUCAUUAGUUUUUUAAUUGAAAGCUUGUAUGAAAGGUUUGAUGAAAAAUUUACUGUCUCUAUAGAAAUUUAUUAGAAUUUUAUUUUUAGGUUAAAAAGCCUAGAUGCUCAUAGAAGACGAGAAGACCCUAUAGAGUUUUAUAUAAGGGUUUUUAAGAAAUUUUAUAGUUUUUAGAUAGAUUUAUUAGGGAAUUUUUAUAUUUUGUUGGGGUGAUAGAAAAAUUAAUAGAACUUUAUUUUAAUAAGAACAUUUAUUUAUGAUUAUUUGAUCCUAAUUAUUUAGAUUAAAAGAUUAAAUUACCUUAGGGAUAACAGCGUAAUUUUUUUUAGAGUUCUUAUCGAAAAGAAAGAUUGCGACCUCGAUGUUGGAUUAAAAUUUAUAGUUGGUGAAGAAGCUAAUGGGAUUAGGUCUGUUCGACCUUUAAAAUUUUACAUGAUCUGAGUUUAAACCGGCGUGAG